rnacentral:rRNA from 1 species
CAGUCGCCGCGGUAAUACGAAGGGCGCAAGCGUUAGUCGGAAUUACUGGGCGUAAAGCGUGCGUAGGCGGUUUGUUAAGUCUGUUGUGAAAUCCCCGGGCUCAACCUGGGAACGGCAAUGGAUACUGGCAAGCUAGAGUGUGUCAGAGGAUGGUGGAAUUCCGCGUGUAGCAGUGAAAUGCGUAGAUAUGCGGAGGAACACCGAUGGCGAAGGCAGCCCCCUGGGCCAACACUGACGCUCAUGCACGAAAGCGUGGGGAGCAAACAGGAUUAGAUACCCCUGUAGUCCCUGUCUCUUAUAC